rnacentral:rRNA from 1 species
GGUUAAGCGACUAAGCGUACACGGUGGAUGCCCUGGCAGUCAGAGGCGAUGAAGGACGUGCUAAUCUGCGAUAAGCGUCGGUAAGGUGAUAUGAACCGUUAUAACCGGCGAUUUCCGAAUGGGGAAACCCAGUGUGUUUCGACACACUAUCAUUAACUGAAUCCAUAGGUUAAUGAGGCGAACCGGGGGAACUGAAACAUCUAAGUACCCCGAGGAAAAGAAAUCAACCGAGAUUCCCCCAGUAGCGGCGAGCGAACGGGGAGCAGCCCAGAGCCUGAAUCAGUGUGUGUGUUAGUGGAAGCGUCUGGAAAGGCGCGCGAUACAGGGUGACAGCCCCGUACACAAAAAUGCACAUGCUGUGAGCUCGAUGAGUAGGGCGGGACACGUGGUAUCCUGUCUGAAUAUGGGGGGACCAUCCUCCAAGGCUAAAUACUCCUGACUGACCGAUAGUGAACCAGUACCGUGAGGGAAAGGCGAAAAGAACCCCGGCGAGGGGAGUGAAAAAGAACCUGAAACCGUGUACGUACAAGCAGUGGGAGCACGCUUAGGCGUGUGACUGCGUACCUUUUGUAUAAUGGGUCAGCGACUUAUAUUCUGUAGCAAGGUUAACCGAAUAGGGGAGCCGAAGGGAAACCGAGUCUUAACUGGGCGUUAAGUUGCAGGGUAUAGACCCGAAACCCGGUGAUCUAGCCAUGGGCAGGUUGAAGGUUGGGUAACACUAACUGGAGGACCGAACCGACUAAUGUUGAAAAAUUAGCGGAUGACUUGUGGCUGGGGGUGAAAGGCCAAUCAAACCGGGAGAUAGCUGGUUCUCCCCGAAAGCUAUUUAGGUAGCGCCUCGUGAAUUCAUCUCCGGGGGUAGAGCACUGUUUCGGCAAGGGGGUCAUCCCGACUUACCAACCCGAUGCAAACUGCGAAUACCGGAGAAUGUUAUCACGGGAGACACACGGCGGGUGCUAACGUCCGUCGUGAAGAGGGAAACAACCCAGACCGCCAGCUAAGGUCCCAAAGUCAUGGUUAAGUGGGAAACGAUGUGGGAAGGCCCAGACAGCCAGGAUGUUGGCUUAGAAGCAGCCAUCAUUUAAAGAAAGCGUAAUAGCUCACUGGUCGAGUCGGCCUGCGCGGAAGAUGUAACGGGGCUAAACCAUGCACCGAAGCUGCGGCAGCGACGCUUAUGCGUUGUUGGGUAGGGGAGCGUUCUGUAAGCCUGCGAAGGUGUGCUGUGAGGCAUGCUGGAGGUAUCAGAAGUGCGAAUGCUGACAUAAGUAACGAUAAAGCGGGUGAAAAGCCCGCUCGCCGGAAGACCAAGGGUUCCUGUCCAACGUUAAUCGGGGCAGGGUGAGUCGACCCCUAAGGCGAGGCCGAAAGGCGUAGUCGAUGGGAAACAGGUUAAUAUUCCUGUACUUGGUGUUACUGCGAAGGGGGGACGGAGAAGGCUAUGUUGGCCGGGCGACGGUUGUCCCGGUUUAAGCGUGUAGGCUGGUUUUCCAGGCAAAUCCGGAAAAUCAAGGCUGAGGCGUGAUGACGAGGCACUACGGUGCUGAAGCAACAAAUGCCCUGCUUCCAGGAAAAGCCUCUAAGCAUCAGGUAACAUCAAAUCGUACCCCAAACCGACACAGGUGGUCAGGUAGAGAAUACCAAGGCGCUUGAGAGAACUCGGGUGAAGGAACUAGGCAAAAUGGUGCCGUAACUUCGGGAGAAGGCACGCUGAUAUGUAGGUGAAGUCCCUUGCGGAUGGAGCUGAAAUCAGUCGAAGAUACCAGCUGGCUGCAACUGUUUAUUAAAAACACAGCACUGUGCAAACACGAAAGUGGACGUAUACGGUGUGACGCCUGCCCGGUGCCGGAAGGUUAAUUGAUGGGGUUAGCGGUAACGCGAAGCUCUUGAUCGAAGCCCCGGUAAACGGCGGCCGUAACUAUAACGGUCCUAAGGUAGCGAAAUUCCUUGUCGGGUAAGUUCCGACCUGCACGAAUGGCGUAAUGAUGGCCAGGCUGUCUCCACCCGAGACUCAGUGAAAUUGAACUCGCUGUGAAGAUGCAGUGUACCCGCGGCAAGACGGAAAGACCCCGUGAACCUUUACUAUAGCUUGACACUGAACAUUGAGCCUUGAUGUGUAGGAUAGGUGGGAGGCUUUGAAGUGUGGACGCCAGUCUGCAUGGAGCCGACCUUGAAAUACCACCCUUUAAUGUUUGAUGUUCUAACGUUGACCCGUAAUCCGGGUUGCGGACAGUGUCUGGUGGGUAGUUUGACUGGGGCGGUCUCCUCCUAAAGAGUAACGGAGGAGCACGAAGGUUGGCUAAUCCUGGUCGGACAUCAGGAGGUUAGUGCAAUGGCAUAAGCCAGCUUGACUGCGAGCGUGACGGCGCGAGCAGGUGCGAAAGCAGGUCAUAGUGAUCCGGUGGUUCUGAAUGGAAGGGCCAUCGCUCAACGGAUAAAAGGUACUCCGGGGAUAACAGGCUGAUACCGCCCAAGAGUUCAUAUCGACGGCGGUGUUUGGCACCUCGAUGUCGGCUCAUCACAUCCUGGGGCUGAAGUAGGUCCCAAGGGUAUGGCUGUUCGCCAUUUAAAGUGGUACGCGAGCUGGGUUUAGAACGUCGUGAGACAGUUCGGUCCCUAUCUGCCGUGGGCGCUGGAGAACUGAGGGGGGCUGCUCCUAGUACGAGAGGACCGGAGUGGACGCAUCACUGGUGUUCGGGUUGUCAUGCCAAUGGCACUGCCCGGUAGCUAAAUGCGGAAGAGAUAAGUGCUGAAAGCAUCUAAGCACGAAACUUGCCCCGAGAUGAGUUCUCCCUGACUCCUUGAGAGUCCUGAAGGAACGUUGAAGACGACGACGUUGAUAGGCCGGGUGUGUAAGCGCAGCGAUGCGUUGAGCUAACCGGUACUAAUGAACCGUGAGGCUUAACCUU